rnacentral:rRNA from 1 species
GAUGAACGCUGGCGGUAUGCUUAACACAUGCAAGUCGUACGAGAGUUUUUAACUCAAGUGGCGGACGGGUGAGUAACACGUGAGAAUUUACCUUUAGGAGGGGGAUAACAAUUGGAAACGAUUGCUAAUACCCCAUAUGCUUUCGAGUGAAAUGGAUUUUUCUGCCUAAAGAAAAGCUCGCGGCUGAUUAGCUUGUUGGUAAGGUAAUGGCUUACCAAGGCGACGAUCAGUAUCUGGUUUGAGAGGACGAUCAGACACACUGGAACUGAGACACGGUCCAGACUCCUACGGGAGGCAGCAGUGGGGAAUUUUCCGCAAUGGGCGAAAGCCUGACGGAGCAAUACCGCGUGAGGGAAGACGGCCUAUGGGUUGUAAACCUCUUUUUUCAGGGAGGAACAAAAUGACGUGUACCUGAAGAAUAAGCAUCGGCUAACUCCGUGCCAGCAGCCGCGGUAAGACGGAGGAUGCAAGUGUUAUCCGGAAUUACUGGGCGUAAAGCGUCUGUAGGUGGUUUGGUAAGUCAACUGUUAAAUCUUGAGGCUCAACUCCAAGACAGCAGUCGAAACUAUCAGAC